UGCAAAAGGGAAAUAUCAUACUCCAUGUUUUUCAAAUUAUGUUGUAGAAAAAUAUUUGCAUUUCAUUUUAAUUUAUACUAAGGUGUUCGUCGUCGGUAAAAAGGCAAGGAGGAACGUGGUUACAUGGACCGGUCAAGUCGGUUACAUAUACAAAUCUCCUCGGGAGAAUGAUCUGCGAGUGACGAAAACGGAAAUUUUAUUCAUCAGUUUUACUCAUCCUGGAAGAGUGUACAUUGACCUUAUUUUGCUAGGCAGUAUCAGUUUUACUCAUCCUUGAAGAUUGUACAUUGGCAUUAUGUUGCUAUGCAGCAUCAGGUUUACUCAUCCUGGAAGAGUGUACAUUGACCUCAUUUUGCUAUGCAGUAUAGUUUUACUCAUCCUUGAAGAGUGUACAUUGACCUUAUGUUGCUACAUGUAACAUCUAUCUCAUUUGGUCUCUGGUUGAUAGUUAUCUCACUAGCAAUCAUACCACAUCUCUUAUUUUAUAUUAUAUACAAGACUACAAUAUCAUGAAUAUAAUUGAAUGUCGAUGUAAUUGAA